rnacentral:rRNA from 1 species
GACAGAGGCCUCAAGCGUUAGGCGGAAUCACUGGGCUUAAAGCGUGUGUAGGCGGAUCGUUAAGUGUCUUGUGAAAUCCCACGGCUCACCCCGUGGAACUGCCGGGCAUACUGGCGAUCUUGAGGCAUUCAGGGGCGAGCGGAACAAAUGGUGGAGCGGUGAAAUGCGUAGAUAUCAUUUGGAACGCCAAUGGUGAAAACAGCUCGCUGGGAAUGAUCUGACGCUGAGACGCGAAAGCCAGGGGAGCGAACGGG